AGCGCAGGCGGACGGGUCAGUCUGAAGUGGAAAUCCGGGGCUCAACCUCGGACUUGCUUCGGAUACUGCCUGUCUUGAGUUCGUGAGAGGAAGAUGGAAUUCAGGGUGUAGCGGUGAAAUGCUCAGAUAUCCUGAGGAACACCAGUGGCGAAAGCGGUCUUCUGGCACGAAACUGACGCUGAGGCUCGAAAGCGUGGGGAGCGAACG
rnacentral:rRNA from 1 species